GAUGAACGCUGGCGGCGUGCCUAAUACAUGCAAGUCGAGCGAAUGGAUUAAGAGCAUGCUCUUAUGAAGUUAGCGGCGGACGGGUGAGUAACACGUGGGUAACCUGCCCAUAAGACUGUGAUAACUCCGGGAAACCGGGGCUAAUACCGGAUAACAUUUUGAACCGCAUGGUUCGAAAUUGAAAGGCGGCUUCGGCUGUCACUUAUGGAUGGACCCGGGUCGCAUUAGCUAGUCGGUGAGGUAACGGCUCACCAAGGCAACGAUGCGUAGCCGACCUGAGAGGGCGAUCGGCCACACUGGGACUGAGACACGGCCCAGACUCCUACGGGAGGCAGCAGUAGGGAAUCUUCCGCAAUGGACGAAAGUCUGACGGAGCAACGCCGCGUGAGUGAUGAAGGCUUUCGGGUCGUAAAACUCUGUUGUUAGGGAAGAACAAGUGCUAGUUGAAUAAGCUGGCACCUUGACGGUACCUAACCAGAAAGCCACGGCUAACUACGUGCCAGCAGCCGCCGUAA
rnacentral:rRNA from 1 species